rnacentral:rRNA from 1 species
UACGUAGGGUGCAAGCGUUGUCCGGAAUCACUGGGCGUAAAGCGCGUGUAGGCGGCCCGGUAAGUCCGCUGUGAAAGUCCAGGGCUCAACCCUGGGAUGCCGGUGGAUACUGUCGGGCUCGAGUCCGGAAGAGGCGAGUGGAAUUCCUGGUGUAGCGGUGAAAUGCGCAGAUAUCAGGAGGAACACCAAUGGCGAAGGCAGCUCGCUGGGACGUGACUGACGCUGAGACGCGAAAGCGUGGGGAGCAAACAGG